rnacentral:rRNA from 1 species
UACGUAGGGUGCGAGCGUUGCCCGGAUUUAUUGGGCGUAAAGGGCGCGUAGGCGGCCUGGCGCGUCGGCUGUGAAAUCUCCCGGCUCAACUGGGAGGGGACGGCCGAUACGGCUGGGCUUGAGCGAGGUAGGGGAGAGUGGAAUUCCCGGUGUAGUGGUGGAAUGCGUAGAUAUCAGGAGGAACACCUAUUGCGAAGGCAGCUCGCUGGGACGUUACUGACGCUGAGACGCGAAAGCGUGGGGAGCAAACAGG